rnacentral:tRNA from 1 species
CUUCCCAUGGUGUAGUUGGCAACGCGCCUGUCUAGUGAUUAGGAGUCGUGAGUUCGAGCCUCGCUGAGAGAA